UACAGAGGUCUCAAGCGUUGUUCGGAUUCAUUGGGCGUAAAGCGCGCGUAGGCGGCUGCCUAAGUCGGAUGCGAAAGCCCCGGGCUCAACCUGGGAACUGCAUUCGAUACUAGGCGGCUAGAGUAUGAGAGAGGGAGGUAGAAUUCCACGUGUAGCGGUGAAAUGCGUAGAUAUGUGGAGGAAUACCGGUGGCGAAGGCGGCCUCCUGGUUCAAUACUGACGCUGAGGUGCGAAAGCGUGGGGAGCAAACAGG
rnacentral:rRNA from 1 species